rnacentral:rRNA from 1 species
GUAGCAAUAUUGUCUCAGUGGCGAACGGGUGAGUAACGCGUUGGUGACCUGCCCCGAAGAGGGGGAUAACAGUCCGAAAGGAUUGCUAAUACCCCAUGUGGUCAAGAGGAUUAGAUGCCUUAUGACUAAACGGAGAAAUUCGCUUCGGGAGGGGCCUGCGUCCCAUCAGCUAGUUGGUAGGGUAAUAGCCUACCAAGGCGAUGACGGGUAGGGGACCUGAGAGGGUGGCCCCCCACAAUGGAACUGAAACACGGUCCAUACACCUACGGGUGGCAGCAGUAGGGAAUAUUGGUAAUCUGGGAAACCGGGAACCAGCAACGCCGCGUGCGCGAUGAAGGCCUUCGGGUUGUAAAGCGCUUUUUGAGAGGAUGAGGAAGGACAGUACUCUUAGAAUAAGCCUCGGCUAACUACGUGCCAGCAGCCGCGGUAAAACGUAGGAGGCGAGCGUUAUCCGGAUUUACUGGGCGUAAAGCGUGUGUAGGCGGUUUGAUAAGUUGGAUGUGAAAGCUCCUGGCUUAACUGGGAGAGGUCGUUCAAAACUAUCAGACUUGAGAGUGGUAGAGGGAGGUGGAAUUCCGCAUGUAGUGGUGAAAUGCGUAGAUAUGCGGAGGAACACCAGUGGCGAAAGCGGCCUCCUGGCCCAUUUCUGACGCUCAGACACGAAAGCUAAGGUAGCAAACGGGAUUAGAGACCCCGGUAGUCUUAGCUGUAAACGAUGUGAACUUAGUGUCGGUGGGGUUAAAUCCAUCGGUACUGAAGCUAACGCGAUAAGUUCACCGCCUGAGGACUACGGCCGCAAGGUUAAAACUCAAAGGAAUUGACGGGGCCCCGCACAAGCAGCGGAGCAUUGUGGUUUAAUUCGAUGU